UGGUGUACCUGUUGGCGACCAACGCCACGGCAGGGUAGCCAAGUCCGGCAGGGAUAAACGCUGAAGGCAUCUAAGCGUGAAGCCUCCCCCGAGAUGAGUUAUCCGCUGCGUAAGCGGUAAGACCCCUUGAAGACUACAAGGUAGAUAGGGCAUGGGUGUAAGUGCAGCAAUGUAUUAAGCUGAAUGCCACUAAUAGGUCGAAAGCUUAUCCUG
rnacentral:rRNA from 1 species